rnacentral:rRNA from 1 species
GGUCAAGUUACUAAGGGUCUACGGUGGAUGCCUAGGGGCCAAGAGCCGAUAAGCCUCGGCUAGCUGUCUAGUGAGCUUAAUCGAGGAUUCCCGAAUGGGGAAACCCGCCUUGGGUCAUACCAAGGCACUCGCGUAAGCGAGGGGUAAGCGGGUGAACUGAAACAUCUAAGUAACCCGAGGAAAGUAAAUCAACCGAGACUCCCUGAGUAGUGGCGAACGAAAGGGGAUGAGCCCAAACCUGGCUGGCUUAGUGGUAUGAGAGCCUAUGUCUGUCAGGGGUUGUAACACGCGCCCGCUCCAUUCUCAGUAGGGAGCAAGGAGUCAAAAAUCCGCCGCCUAACCAAAUGAUCCUGGAAAGGACAACCAAAGAGGGUGAAAGUCCCGUAGGUGAAAGGCGUCGGACUCCUGGAGUGUUGUUGAGUACCACGGGACACGUGAAAUCUUGUGGGAAGCUGGGGAGACCACUCUCCAAGGCUAAGUACUCUUGGCCACCG